rnacentral:rRNA from 1 species
UACGAAGGGGGGCUAGCGUUGCUCGGAAUCACUGGGCGUAAAGCGCACGUAGGCGGAUCUUUAAGUCAGGGGUGAAAUCCUGGAGCUCAACUCCAGAACUGCCUUUGAUACUGAGGAUCUUGAGUCCGGGAGAGGUGAGUGGAACUCCGAGUGUAGAGGUGAAAUGCGUAGAUAUCAGGAGGAACACCGGUGGCGAAGGCGGUGGUCUGGGCCGGCACUGACGCUGAGGAGCGAAAGCGUGGGGAGCAAACAGG